AGCAGCCGCGGUAAUUCCAGCUCCAAUAGCGUAUAUUAAAGUUGUUGCAGUUAAAAGCUCGUAGUUGAAUUUCGGGAUCAAUUUGCUGGUCGGAACCUCUGGUACGUACUGGUAUUAUUGAUUUCUUUCAUUCUGAUAGAUCAUGGAUGUCAUUAAUUUGAUGACUUUGAGGAAUCGGAACUUUUACUUUGAAAAAAUUAGAGUGUUUAAAGCAGGCUUAUCAGGCUUGAAUACAUUAGCAUGGAAUAAUGAAAUAGGACGAUUGAUCCUAUUUUUGUUGGUUUCUAGGAUUGACGUAAUGAUUAAUAGGGAUAGUUGGGGGCAUUAGUAUUCAAUUGUCAGAGGUGAAAUUCUUGGAUUUAUUGAAGACUAACUACUGCGAAAGCAUUUUGCCAAGGAUGUUUUCAUUAAUCAAGAACGAAAGUUAGGGGAUCGAAGACGAUCAGAUACCGUCGUAGUCUUAACCAUAAACUAUGCCGACUAGGGAUCGGAUGAUGUUAAUUUUUUCAAUGACUCAUUC
rnacentral:rRNA from 1 species